rnacentral:lncRNA from 1 species
CGAGAAUUACAUGUAAAGCUAGUGGCGUUUAAUCAAGUCAAGUGAGCAAGUGCACAAAUGGAUGAGAUAUUGCCAAUUUGAAACUAAUAAAAGAGGAAGCACAAUUGGGUUAAAAGGUGAUUUAUAAAUAAUUUGACAGCCAAGAAUUCAAUUGUAUUGGAACUAUCUGAAAUAGGAUUGAAAGAUGCAAGAAAUGGUCUAAAUUGGUGUAGAAUGGCCAGAAAAAAGAAGAAACGAGCAUUGAACAAGUAUAAAUCUACCCAAAAAAUGAUUGAACUUGAUUAACAAACAUCUGAACAAGCCUCGAAGACAUUUUAACUGGGCUGAAAAUAGGGUGAAACGGACUUAAAAUUGCUUAACCAGCCUGAUAAGAGACUGAACUGCUUUGAGAUGUGCUGAACUGCUUUGAAAGUAGGCUAUUCCCCCACCUCAAAAUCAGCUGAAUUGCUCUGGAAUUUCAUGUUUAUAUAGUUUCUAAACCAUUUUUCUCCAAUUAAAAACACAAAGAAUAGGAUUUCGGCAUAAAUCAGCUGCCAAGAAGAUAAAAAUUCCAAAAAUUUGAGCUGGAAUACAAAUUAGCAUGUGGCCUGCUCUAAUACCUUAUUAAAGCUUGAGGUUCUAUCUUAUAAAGUCAACCUUGUUAAAAGAGUAGCCUAAGCCCCCAUAUAUUGUACAUAUUAUAUCAUUAUUCCACGUGAGAUUAUUUAACGUAUUCCUACAAGAUGGUGGCUCAUUUGAGGAUGUCAGUAUUGAAAUUCAUGCGCUCGUUUAAGUCUUAGUUAGGAUGAAUUGCUUGUUGGAGCUAAAUGAGCUUCAGUACUAUAUGGUAAAAAAAAAAAAAGGAGAAAUAAUUUCUUGCUUCUUUGGUUUGUCAAUUUUUACAAGGUUCAAACACAUUGCUAUACAAUUAUAAAAGGAAAGAAAUAAAUGGUCUAAUCUAUAGCUAUACAAUCCCCAUAAAUCUAUCUAUUCUAUUGCUAAACCCUCCCCAUGGAUACUUCAUAAUCUAUUCCAUAUUUAAUGCACAAUCAUUGACCAAACCAGAUUCUGCGAAUGUGGACAGAUUUUAUGAGUGGAAAUACAGCUAAUUACAGCUAUUUUUCCAUAGUCUCAGUAUAAAUUGUUUUCAUGUUUUCUUCUCACAGAGGAUGCACAUUGUUAUAAUACAUCUUCAAGUUAUGCUAAAGGGUACAUUCUUGUUUGUUUGUGUUGGUCUGUUGGAAUAAGGCAGGUUGUGUGAAAAAUGGCCAUAUCAUUGUUCUUAAUCGUCGUUUUUGCUUUUCCAGGAGAAGGAGUUGGAUCUGUAGUCUCUAGAUUCGUGCAGGAGGCCGAUAUGGUAUAUGAUGUUGCUUAUUGUGGAUAUUCACACUCAAAAAGACCAAUAUUUUUCAGUGAAAAUCAGUCUUUUACUGCUGGAGACUUUGUGGGUUCACACCAAGGCCAAGUUGGCAUAAAUUUUACCCAUCGCAAUACAGAAUCUAAUGAUCAUUUAGACAAACUAAAUUGAUGUACCCCUCAAUCAUUAUUUUUGGUAUUAGACUGCAGGUGUUGUUCUCGAUUUGCUGCCAUUGCAAAAGCUUUUGUUGGUUUUCUGAUGAAAAUAAAUGCUGAUUUGGUGGUUUAUCAUUGUCAUUGACAAAGUACUAGAAUGCUCUGUGACUGUUAUGAAAGUAAGUUCAGACUUCCAGAUUUUUUUUCUAGAAAAUAAUGGAAAAUGAUGUUUCAACUUUUUGUGCUGUGGGAUAUAAUUUUUAGUAUGAGAACAAUGUUCUGUCUUCAGUCUGUGUUCCAUUUUCUUAGGAAUAAGUGAAUGUUUGGUAUGUAUGUGAAUGAGAUUUUAACUUCUUUUUCCUGCCUAUGAAACAUAGCAUACCUUUUCUAAAUGUAAUGAACCGAAUUUAAGUGAAGGAAAAGCAUUAACUUUACGAAAGAAAAAUGUCAUAGAAUAGAUCUCUACAUUUAGCUGUUAAACAAGCCUCAAUCCAUGAGGCACUACCUGUUAGAAAGGUGUCUUGGUACAAAAGAAAUAGAGACAACUAGCCAAUAAUGUUGGUGUACUUUUUAACUAUGAAGUCAAGAAUCUAAUUACUGAAGUAGUUCUCAGGAUUGGCUCAUCACCAUUGUGAUGGACUUGGAAGUGGAUCAAGAUGAUCGAAUAUGUCCAUAGAUGUGCUGAACUGCUUUGAAAGUAGGCUAUUCCCCCACCUCAAAAUCAGCUGAAUUGCUCUGGAAUUUCAUGUUUAUAUAGUUUCUAAACCAUUUUUCUCCAAUUAAAAACACA